rnacentral:rRNA from 1 species
UAAGCAAUUAUACCGUGAAACUGCGAAUGGCUCAUUAUAUAAGUUAUCGUUUAUUUGAUAGUACCUUACUACUUGGAUAACCGUGGUAAUUCUAGAGCUAAUACAUGCUAAAAAUCCCGACUUCGGAAGGGAUGUAUUUAUUAGAUUAAAAACCAAUGCCCUUCGGGGCUCACUGGUGAUUCAUGAUAACUCCUCGAAUCGCAUGGCCUUGUGCCGGCGAUGGUUCAUUCAAAUUUCUUCCCUAUCAACUUUCGAUGUUUGGGUAUUGGCCAAACAUGGUUGCAACGGGUAACGG